UUUUCUCUCCUGGAGCUUGUCCUGUCCAUGCAGUGCUACGUGACCAAAACACAAGUUAAAGGACAUCACAUUGUGCUAUCCAAGCAGGUUGGUCUUGUCUGUCCCUUUUUGCUCUAAAAACUUUCUGAAUUAGAGCUUUUAUCACAGACAAGAAAUCUUCAAUGUCAGUCACAUGACCAUGGGAUUUACAUGUGGCACAAGUAGCUAGGGGCUUAUCUCAAGAGAGGAGGAGGCUCACAGGAGACUUGCAACCUUGAUUCUCCAUCUGUUUGAAGCCAACACACUUUGUGUUUCUAGGUGCAAAAUGAUUCUUCAAUUGCAUAUGCUGAGAAGAUUCUGGAGCGCCUCUCCCAAGACAGCACAAGUGGUGAUAACAUCAUUUCAGAGAGAAGAAAAAAGUACCAACCACCUAAAACGAGUCCAGCUACUCCUUGAACAAUCCCUGCAACCUCCAGGGAGAGAAAAUGUGGAGAGAUGUCUGGAAAAAGAAGACGGAAAGCAGACCUUGGGCUCAGGUAACAUACGCUCUCCACACUGGGAACUCUCAAGGGACCCAAGUGGGUCAUCUCUGUGUGGAUCUGUGUCUGUUGUGCGGGGGAAGCAACCCUGGGGUCCCAGUAGCUCUCUUCAACUCAGUGUGCCCACAAGGUUUAGUUACUCAGCCAGGAUGCUUGUCUUGUCUCCCCCGUCCUAAGGGAGAGAGCGUGCACUGAGCCAGUGGGCCUCCUGUGGAAGGGACACAUGAGGCUGAACUGAAAGUCACAUGUGCUCGGAGAAGAGGAACAUCAAGGUGGCGUGACUGAACUGUGAGUAGCUGAAAGAAAAGCAGCGCUGUUUCAUAGGAAACUCAGCAUCGCUGGAGCUUAGUUUGAGGUUAGACCCUUUCAGCUAGGAAAAGCAACACUAAAGGCAACAUGGUCUUUCCCUUUCAAACACUGUGGCUUAUUUGUUUAGUCGGUUAAAUAAGCCACAACCCCCCUCAUAAUAGAGAUUAGCAAGAGAUGAAGAAAAUUAUAGGCAGGUGGCCCUAGCCCAACAGUCUGAUAACUGGGUCACAGUCUGAUAACUGGGUCAGUAGGGAGGCCCAGGAUGAACUAAUCUGUGCUAAACCCCAGGUAACGCCCACAUGAUGCCUCUCAUCAGCGAGGUAGAUGGUCAUCCUCCUGCUAGAGGUAUCAGGGUGCCGACCCACAGCACAAAGGGAUGGGAGAAGGACCUGCCUGGCUAAAAGGCAUAAGCUAUUCCACACGGCUGUAUCACACAGACAGCAGCUAGCCAGAAUUCACAGGUUACUCGAGAAAAUUUAGCCCCACAGAGAGGGACUCUUACCCUGAGGCCUGCACACCACAAGCCUCCCUUGCUUCAAGACCCAGCAUUAAGUGAGGCUGUCACUGUAACCUACUUCCACAAGUGGAGUCUGCCUCUGUCCUGCCUUCCUGUCCCCACAGGAACCUGAGAUGGGGGGAGGGAUGACCAGCCCAGAGUGAGUAUCAGGAGAUGGGAAACUGCAGAAGGAGGGAGGAGAAGAUGGAGGGACAAGAGAGGGUGCAAAGGAAAAGUUUUAAACGCUUAAAAUUAUAUCAAGGGAAAAAAAAAUUAUAUCAAGGAGAUAAGAGGUGGGAGGCAAAGGUUAAAUCAAGAAGAGGGAUGGGAUCAGGAAGAGGAGCUCCUAAGAUGACUAGAAGGUGGGAAGGUGGCGGGACUGCCUGGCAUUACUUCCCGUGCAAGUCACUGAGCUCCACAUCAUCCUUUCGGCGCUUAUGGGUGAAGAGGGAGGUGACCGGGUAGAGCUUGGCCUUGGCCUGGAACCGGUGUCCUGCGAUGUCAAUCUCAUAUUCUCCCCGGUUGAUGAAAUCUGCUGUCACCACCUGCUCUUCUCCGGUGUCCUCGGAAAAAUUGUGCACGAAGCCCAGGCACACGUGGCGCUCCAGGGUGUAACCAUAUGCGCUGCUGGUGGUCUUGCCCACGUACUGCCCGUUUCGGUAAAUGGGCUCCCCCCACCAAGGCCAGAGGUCCAGGUCUGUGUCGUGGUCGUCCAGGAUGAACAUAGUGAAGCGUUUGUACACCCCGUUCUGCUUCUGCUGCAGCAGGGCAUCUCGCCCAAUGAAAUCCAUCCCCUAGGAAAGAGCACAGAGACAGCAUCACUGCUUGGGACCCGGUGUCACUGCAGUGGGCUGCCCACUCCCUACCACACCCCUGCAAGCUCUGGAGAACGUGUGCUUCCCCCAUGCGGAAAACUGCAUUCACAGUAUGAAAGACACCUGCAGAGAAUUCUUGUAACAACACAGGUUUUUCAUCUGUAAAAGAAUGAUCUGGACUUCCCUGGUGGUGCAGUGGUUAAGAAUCCGCCUGCCAAUGCAGGGGACAUGGGUUCAAGCCCUGGUCUGGGAAGAUCCCACAUGCCACGGAGCAACUAAGCCCGUGUGCCACAACUACCGAGCCUGGGCUCUAGAGCCUGCGAGCCACAACUACUGAGCCCCCAUGCCACAACUACUGAAGCCCGCGCACCUAGAGCCCGUGCUCUGCAACAAGAGAAGCCACCAUAAUGAGAAGCCCGUGCACUGCGACGAAGAGUAGCCCCUGCUUGCUGCAACUAGAGAAAGCCCACGCGCAGCAACGAAGACCCAAU